CGGACGGGUGAGUAAUGUCUGGGAAACGUGCCUGAUGGGGGGGGAUAACUACUGGAAACGGUAGCUAAUACCGCAUAACGUCGCAAGACCAAGAGGGGGACCGUUCGGGCCUCUUGCCAUCGGAUGUGCCCAGAUGGGAUUAGCUAGUAGGUGGGGUAACGGCUCACCUAGGCGACGAUCCCUAGCUGGUCUGAGAGGAUGACCAGCCACACUGGAACUGAGACACGGUCCAG
rnacentral:rRNA from 1 species